UAUGGUCAUAGUGUCAGUAAGGCUGUAAAGAGAUCAGAUCUAAAUAAAUUAUACUCCCAAGCUAAGGAGGCUUGGUUUUCUGCAAAAAGACAAACCUCACAGGUAUUUCAAAGAAAACAGUAUGUAUAUAUAUUUUUAAUUUCAAGAAAAUAGAGUGGACAAUGGUUCUUUCCUGCUGCUAUUUGGACAGAUCACAGAAGAAUAUGAUUUUUUUUUUCCUCAUCUGGAGGCAAUGGAAAUCACAUCUUGCUAAACCUGUAUACUCUUUUAAUAUGGGGCCUUCAGGUGCUGUCUACUAUGUGCCCACCAUCAGCCUGGGAUUCUGCAACCAGCCUGCACAGUUCCUCUCCUUAUUUUAUCUUGUUACAGUGAAUGAUGAAAUAUAUAAUGAAUCAAAAUUGAUAUUAGGUCUACAAUAUGUUUACUUCAAAGGUAAUGCAUGAUUGCGUUCAUUAUCUACUUUUAAUGCUUCUUUUACAUUGCAGUUUAGGGUUUUGCAUAAGAAAAAAUUUACUUCUGAAACUUACAUUAAUCUUAAACAUUUGUGUGCAACUUGAAGAACUGGCAGCCACAUCUCUGCAGGUUUUGAUUAUUUCAUUGGUAGUGACAUCAAAGUGACAUCAAAGCACCACCACACAAUGGAAUUCUCUGUGAGUCAUGCACAACCAUGGAACAUCAUGAACCAUGAGUGAAGGGACUGAUGGAGAAACAGCCAGUUUCACUGCAGUCUACAUAAAUUAAAAUAAAUAAAUAAAUAAAAGACUUCUAAAUA